GAUGAACGCUGGCGGCGUGCCUAAUACAUGCAAGUCGAGCGAACGGACGAGAAGCUUGCUUCUCUGAUGUUAGCGGCGGACGGGUGAGUAACACGUGGAUAACCUACCUAUAAGACUGGGAUAACUUCGGGAAACCGGAGCUAAUACCGGAUAAUAUUUUGAACCGCAUGGUUCAACAGUGAAAGACGGUCUUGCUGUCACUUAUAGAUGGAUCCGCGCUGCAUUAGCUAGUUGGUAAGGUAACGGCUUACCAAGGCAACGAUGCAUAGCCGACCUGAGAGGGUGAUCGGCCACACUGGAACUGAGACACGGUCCAGACUCCUACGGGAGGCAGCAGUAGGGAAUCUUCCGCAAUGGGCGAAAGCCUGACGGAGCAACGCCGCGUGAGUGAUGAAGGUCUUCGGAUCGUAAAACUCUGUUAUUAGGGAAGAACAUAUGUGAAAGUAACUGUGCACAUCUUGACGGUACCUAAUCAGAAAGCCACGGCUAACUACGUG
rnacentral:rRNA from 1 species